GACGAACGCUGGCGGCGUGCUUAACACAUGCAAGUCGAACGGAAAGGCCCUGCUUGCAGGGUACUCGAGUGGCGAACGGGUGAGUAACACGUGGGUGAUCUGCCCUGCACUUCAGGAUAAGCCUGGGAAACUGGGUCUAAUACCGGAUAGGAGCCAUUUUUAGUGUGAUGGUUGGAAAGUUUUUUCGGUGUAGGAUGAGCUCGCGGCCUAUCAGCUUGUUGGUGGGGUAAUGGCCUACCAAGGCGGCGACGGGUAGCCGGCCUGAGAGGGUGGACGGCCACAUUGGGACUGAGAGACGGCCCAGACUCCUACGGGAGGCAGCAGUGGGGAAUAUUGCACAAGGGGCGCAAGCCUGAUGCAGCGACGCCGCGUGGGGGAUGACGGCCUUCGGGUUGUAAACUCCUUUCGCUAGGGACGAAGCUUUUUGUGACGGUACCUAGAUAAGAAGCACCGGCUAACUACGUG
rnacentral:rRNA from 1 species